UACAGAAGGAUGUGUAAGGCAUCAGGAA
rnacentral:piRNA from 1 species